rnacentral:rRNA from 1 species
GACGAACGCUGGCGGCGUGCUUAACACAUGCAAGUCGAACGGAAAGGCCUCUUUCGGGGGGUACUCGAGUGGCGAACGGGUGAGUAACACGUGAGUAACCUGCCCUUGACUUUGGGAUAACUUCAGGAAACUGGGGCUAAUACCGGAUAGGAGCUCCUGCUGCAUGGUGGGGGUUGGAAAGUUUCGGCGGUUGGGGAUGGACUCGCGGCUUAUCAGCUUGUUGGUGGGGUAGUGGCUUACCAGGGCUUUGACGGGUAGCCGGCCUGAGAGGGUGACCGGCCACAUUGGGACUGAGAUACGGCCCAGACUCCUACGGGAGGCAGCAGUGGGGAAUAUUGCACAAUGGGUGGAAGCCUGAUGCAGCAACGCCGUGUGCGGGAUGACGGCCUUCGGGUUGUAAACCGCUUUCGCUCAUGACGAAGCUUUGUGUGACGGUAGUGGGUAAAGAAGCACCGGCUAACUACGUG